rnacentral:rRNA from 1 species
UGUAUAAUGGGUCAGCGACUUAUAUUCUGUAGCAAGGUUAACCGAAUAGGGGAGCCGAAGGGAAACCGAGUCUUAACUGGGCGUUAAGUUGCAGGGUAUAGACCCGAAACCCGGUGAUCUAGCCAUGGGCAGGUUGAAGGUUGGGUAACACUAACUGGAGGACCGAACCGACUAAUGUUGAAAAAUUAGCGGAUGACUUGUGGCUGGGGGUGAAAGGCCAAUCAAACCGGGAGAUAGCUGGUUCUCCCCGAAAGCUAUUUAGGUAGCGCCUCGUGAAUUCAUCUCCGGGGGUAGAGCACUGUUUCGGCAAGGGGGUCAUCCCGACUUACCAACCCGAUGCAAACUGCGAAUACCGGAGAAUGUUAUCACGGGAGACACACGGCGGGUGCUAACGUCCGUCGUGAAGAGGGAAACAACCCAGACCGCCAGCUAAGGUCCCAAAGUCAUGGUUAAGUGGGAAACGAUGUGGGAAGGCCCAGACAGCCAGGAUGUUGGCUUAGAAGCAGCCAUCAUUUAAAGAAAGCGUAAUAGCUCACUGGUCGAGUCGGCCUGCGCGGAAGAUGUAACGGGGCUAAACCAUGCACCGAAGCUGCGGCAGCGACGCUGAUGCGUUGUUGGGUAGGGGAGCGUUCUGUAAGCCUGCGAAGGUGUGCUGUGAGGCAUGCUGGAGGUAUCAGAAGUGCGAAUGCUGACAUAAGUAACGAUAAAGCGGGUGAAAAGCCCGCUCGCCGGAAGACCAAGGGUUCCUGUCCAACGUUAAUCGGGGCAGGGUGAGUCGACCCCUAAGGCGAGGCCGAAAGGCGUAGUCGAUGGGAAACAGGUUAAUAUUCCUGUACUUGGUGUUACUGCGAAGGGGGGACGGAGAAGGCUAUGUUGGCCGGGCGACGGUUGUCCCGGUUUAAGCGUGUAGGCUGGUUUUCCAGGCAAAUCCGGAAAAUCAAGGCUGAGGCGUGAUGACGAGGCACUA